rnacentral:rRNA from 1 species
UACGUAGGGUGCAAGCGUUAAUCGGAAUUACUGGGCGUAAAGCGUGCGCAGGCGGUUCUGUAAGUCUGUCGUGAAAUCCCCGGGCUUAACCUGGGAAUUGCGAUGGAGACUGCAAGGCUAGAAUCUGGCAGAGGGGGGGUAGAAUUCCACGUGUAGCAGUGAAAUGCGUAGAGAUGUGGAGGAACACCGAUGGCGAAGGCAGCCCCCUGGGUCAAGAUUGACGCUCAUGCACGAAAGCGUGGG